AUUGAACGCUGGCGGCAGGCUUAACACAUGCAAGUCGAGCGGGGUGAUGGUGCUUGCACUAUCACUUAGCGGCGGACGGGUGAGUAAUGCUUGGGAAUCUGCCUAUUAGUGGGGGACAACAUCUCGAAAGGGAUGCUAAUACCGCAUACGUCCUACGGGAGAAAGCAGGGGAUCACUUGUGACCUUGCGCUAAUAGAUGAGCCUAAGUCGGAUUAGCUAGUUGGUGGGGUAAAGGCCUACCAAGGCGACGAUCUGUAGCGGGUCUGAGAGGAUGAACCGCCACACUGGGACUGGGACACGGCCCAGAGUCCUACGGGAGGCAGCAGUGGGGAAUAUUGGACAAUGGGGGGAACCCUGAUCCAGCCAUGCCGCGUGUGUGAAGAAGGCCUUAUGGUUGUAAAGCACUUUAAGCGAGGAGGAGGCUCUUUUGGUUAAUACCCAAGAUGAGUGGACGUUACUCGCAGAAUAAGCACCGGCUAACUCUGUGCCAGCCGCCGCAGUAA
rnacentral:rRNA from 1 species